rnacentral:rRNA from 1 species
GCUCGUAGUUGGAUUUCGGGAUGGGCCAGUCGGUCUGCCGUAAGGUAUGUUACUGGCUGGUCUGUCCUUCUUCGCAAAGACUGCGUGUGCCCUUAAUUGUGUGUGCGUAGGAUUUGCGACGUUUACUUUGAAAAAAUUAGAGUGUUCAAAGCAGGCUGACCGCUUGAAUACAUGAGCAUGGAAUAAUGGAAUAGGACUUUGGUUCUAUUUUGUUGGUUUCUUGAACCGAAGUAAUGAUUAAGAGGGACAGUUGGGGGCAUUCGUAUUUCGUUGUCAGAGGUGAAAUUCUUGGAUUUACGAAAGACGAACAACUGCGAAAGCAUUUGCCAAGAAUGUUUUCAUUAAUCAAGAACGAAAGUUAGAGGCUCGAAGACGAUCAGAUACCGUCCUAGUUCUAACCAUAAACGAUGCCGACUAGGGAUCAGCGGGCGUUAUUUUAUGACCCCGUUGGCACCUUAUGGGAAACCAAAGUUUUUGGGUUCCGGGGGAAGUAUGGUUGCAAAGCUGAAACUUAAAGGAAUUGACGGAAGGGCACCACCAGGAGUGGAGCCUGCG